rnacentral:lncRNA from 1 species
GGAAGAUCCUUUUAGAUAUUAUUUACUCAUUAGACAGACCGAUAAAGAAACUAAAGCCCAGAGCAGGGCAGUAGCUGCUGGAGGGCCCAGAGCCACGUGGUAGGAGAGCUGGGAGAGAGGCCUGGGUACUGAGAGAGCUGCUGUGUUUGGGCUGCUCUACACAUCCCCGUGUUUCUGUAUUCCUCCAUGCUCACGGAGUCUUCCUCAGACUUCAGUCUCCAGAUGUGCCAUAGUUUAAUUUGGGGGUCCUCAAGUCAAAAUUUCAAGAACUGAAGAAUACGGAUCAUGAGACCUGCUGAAUAACAUCGAAGGAACUUCUGAACACGCCACCAUUUAAGCGGAGAGGGUCCCUCCCUUCCGCUGCAAUCAGGCUAUUACAGGCUCGCUCUGCCUCUUACCCGCUGGGCGCAGGCCAAGCCCAGAGCCCGGGGCUCCUACUAUGACUUGGCUGAGCAGCAAGCUAUUCAUCCACACGUCCAAGGCCACUUUUGUGCGAACAGCUUCGCAUCACCUGCCCCUGGAGACUUCGGAUCACCCCUCUGCUCCCCCGCCCUCCCCUGCUCCAGCCCCUCUCUGGCUGUGCAGGAGCCAAAGGGGAUUUGUGAUAACAGAGUCACAGGCACAGGCCCAACCCAGGCCCGAGGAGCUUGACCUGAGGCAAGAGCAUAGCCCAGAACAACACACGCCACUCCCCAGCAAGGAGGGGUGGCCCGGCACUCAAAUCGAAAACUCCUGGGCUUUUGAUGGAAGCCAUAAAACAAAGGUCUUAGAAUGUCCAUCAGGAGGGAACGCUUUGAACCAGGCAUCACGCUCUGGGCGGGAUUCCAAGUCAGCCCUGAAAACAGUCAGAGCUACCCCGGGUCCCCUCCUGGCUGCGCAGAAUGGCUGAAAGAGUGGGUUCUCCCUUCUGCCCGGCCCCCCACCCCGGCUCGGUUCCCCACGUCGUCUGAAGAGCCCGCUCUGAGCCCAGACAGCGACGAGACAAGGCGCUUUUCUUACGGCAGGACAUCCUCUCCUCACCCAGACCUCCAAGGAUUUCUCAUCAGAGAGACAAAGUGUCUUUAUUUUAAAGGCUCCAUGUAGCAGGGCCAGAAGUUUCUUGUGUUAUUAAGAAGGGGGUGGGGGAGGGGAAAGGGCCGAUGAGGCUACUUACUUAAUAGCUCCUAACAGCUGUGGAAAGUUUGAUGCAGCAGGAGCACCCGGACAGAAAAUUAAAAAACUAAUAAAGUCCUCAGUGUGGGGGCGCUGGCAUCAGGACAGCUUUACUUCUCCAGACACCUAAUAAAGAGACAUUCCGGGACACUCACUCAUAAGGGGAGUCUGCAGGGGUCACCGGGAACAGUGGAAAGUGAGCCAUGGAAACCUAGCAGUCACUCACAGCGCCGUGGGGAAGUUUCGUUUGCUUCUCCUCUUCCCCGCCCCCCCCCCACCUCCGCUUUUCGCCGUUUUGGAAGAAUGGCAGGGUGCUCAGGACCCAAAGAAGGAAAAGGAGGACUGAAAAAAGAGAAAAAGAGGAGGGGGGCGAUUCCAGGAGCCUCAAUGUAGAAAUCAUGCACUUUCAUGGAGGGAACGAGCGUGAAGCUGAGGUUGGCAGUUUAGACAUAGCAGGACGGGAGGUGAUGGUCACCAUGCAGGGGCACGUUGAGAUCCCGAGGCGGCUGGCUUCUGGAGGUAGCAGAGAAAGGCGGUUUAGAGAAAUGAGGUUUAUUCAGCUGGAUUUUAUGAAGCACCCUCCUCACGAAAGGUUUUCUCGUGUGGGUUUUUCCACUGUCGUUACGAGGUCAUUUUGGAUCUGAGCUCCUUGGGGUCUGCUAGGUUCUGGGUUGCUGGGUUGGGACUUUUGCUUUAAAGGACAUUUAUGUUGUUUUGUCUUGGUCCUCAAGUUGGGCUUUGUGUAUUUGAAGAAAAAAUAUGAUGACUUGGGACAACCAAACCAUCAGCCAGUUGUGGAGGCAUCCACUGAGCUGGUGGGGCCAGUCUUCUCACACACACAACGUGCCAGCACCAAAGGUAGACUGCAGUGGCCUGCUAACAAAAGGAGAGUACAGUGGAAUGAGUCAGCCAGAGCAAGACAAAUACUGUGGGAUCUCACUCACAUGUGAAAUCUAAAAGAAUCGAACUCAUAGAAACAAAACAGAUAGGUGUUUGCCAGAGGCGGGUGGAAGGGGUGUGUGGGUAUGUGUGUGACGGGGUGGGGUUUGGGGCAGGGGGAGGGAUAGGUGGGGAAAAAAGAAAAGCAGGAAGAAAAGACAGUAAAAAGAAAAUUGGCUCCAUUUUCUAACCUGAUGUUCAAUUCCGGUCGUGUUUUUGAGAUGGGCUCCGGCUAAUUCUCACUUUCUGUGUAACAUUCUGGUUGAUCUGUAAUCUGGAGACCAGCAGCCAAACUGGAUCCUCAGGAUCACCUCUCCACAGCAGUGGUUACCACCGGCUAAUGUUACAUUUGCUUAAGAAGAAUACAGUUUGUGUUGUGCAAAUUUGUGAAAUGGCUUUUGCCCACUGGCCUCGAGGCCGUCCUUGCACAAAUUUCCCAAGGGCUCCUGGUGUGAUGGAAAGAGAACCGGAGACAAGGCACUCGGGCCCAAUUCCAGCCGCCUGUGCCACUCACGGGCAUGGAGGGGUUGAGCAAUCACUUGUCCGUGUGGGCCUCAGUUUCUUGUUCUGUAGGAUGAAGGGAUGGGCAAUGACUUCUAAGGCCCCUUCCAGCUCCCACACGCUGUGAUUCCGUGAGGUUGCAACGUUGGUCUCUGUAUUGAUGUUCCUGGCUCUCCUGUGUCAGAAAGUGUUUUCCUUCUGGCUUUUCCUUUGGUUGUGGCUUGGCAGAGGCCGAGCUGCAGCCGUUGGGUGUGAUGGAGGAGACUUCUGUGGUUAUGUGAGUAAAAUGAAAUACAGGCUUUUGAACUUCUCAAGUGCAGAAACCCUUUCUUGGUCUUUUCUGUUUCUUUGGGCUUUUUCUUUAAAAUAAGAAAAAAAAAGAUUUUUCUCCCAUGAGAACAGUUCCACGUUUAAGAAAAGAAAAAUGGUGCCAUUGGGGUGGGCAUGGAGUGGCUUGUGGUAGGUAGAUCUCUCUGAGGGGGUCCUGGGAAGUUCUGAUUUAUACUGGAAGGAUCUAGAGCUUCUCAAAUUUCAAAGUGCAGAAGGAUCACUGAGGGUCUUGUUAAAUCCAGAUUCUGAUUGAAUAGUGUGGGGUGGGGCCUGGGAUUCUGCAUUUCCAAUGAGCUCCCAGGUGAUGCUGCCUAUGCUGGCCCAUGGGCUACACUUUUAGUAAGAAGGCUAGGUGAUCCCAACUUAGGCCUCCCUGAGGCUGGCCCAGAGAGCAGCAGGAGCUCACAGGAUGGGGACAUUGCAACCAGGCCCACCAUCCUGGGGUUCUUUAGGUGUCUAGGUUCAGUUUAUGCCCAGAAUGAACCUGCAAGGUCAGCUCUUAACAUAGGGAGUCCUAUCCCUCUGGAAGGUGGGUCUGUCACAGUCUGGCUGGCAAUCAGUCUUAUGUAGGUUCUCCCUUUUGCCAUCUGAUACUUCAGUGUUUUUCUUUCUCUUUCUCUCUCUUUCUCUGUUUCCAGCAUUGGGAGAAGAAAAAUUGGGCAGUGGGGGUAAGAAAGGAUAACGCAUCAAUUAGUUACAGAGCUACAGUAUAGAAUUAAAUGAGCCCCAUACUCUGGCUCAUGAACAACAUUAUAUUAGCAAGCCUAGAACUGGUGUUGGUUUUAGCUAAAUAAAGAAAUCUAAAUCAUUUAAUACACCUUUCCUAAUUGAGCCGCACACCAGGGGCACCUUCCUAAUGGCAUUAUGGCACCAAUUACCUCAUUAGGAGAGACGAGCUGCUUUUAUGACAGGUUUUGGAAAUUAAAAUGGCAGAGGGGUGUCCUUCAAGAGGACUAAUUCUGGGCUGGGCUGAGCUCAGCAAUGAGCAGGGGUCAGAAGGGUGCAUGGGGGCCCGGGAACUGAAGGCGGGACGAUGAUCCCUGUUUGGUUUGACCCCUGGCUUGGGGCUGAGAUCUGGAUUCACUCUUCAUGUGCUGUUUCAUCAAGUAUGUAAACUCCAGUGGCUCUUGCACUUGAGUUUGUGUAAGAUCCAGUGGGAAGGCUUGUUAGGAAUUCAGGUUCCAGGGCCCCACCCUGAGAUUCUGACCCAAGAAGGCUGGGCUAGGCUCCAGCCAAACCAUACUUCUAACAAGGUCCCUGGGCAGCUUUCUUGCAGGAAGCUCACAGACACUAUCUCUUUGUAGAAAUCAGUAGAGAGGCUCCUAGUGACUUCACCCAAAACUCAGCGAAGUAUAUGCAGGUUCCUCCAUCACCAGGGGUUUUCAUCUUACCAAAGAACAGACCAAAUGAGAUUUAUGUGGAUUUGCUUCUUUAGACACGCACAGCUAAUUUUCUCUCUUUCUGUCCAGCGUGCUUUGGUUGGUUUGUGUGGUUGAGUACUAGGGAGACUGGGUUUGACUAUUAUCUUGGAUGCUUACGUGCUGUGUGACACUGGGCAGGUCAUUGUGCCCUGGGGGCUACAGUCUCCUCAACUCACAAUGGGCACAGUCAUGUGGGAAUUGUAAAGUGCAAGGACAUAUUAUUGGUCGAGACACUGUCUUUUGGCAACUCAGUUUCCUUCGCUGUAAAAUGAGCGUGUUGCACCUAAGUAUGAAUUUGAUUAGUCUAGGUAGCAAGUGGCUUCUCUUUCUGGCAGCUUUUCAUGUUUUCUUUCCCUGUAGUAACAAGAACUUCAACCUCCAGAUUUUGUGUAAAUAUUGAAUUUAUAGCAAUGGUUUUGUAGAGUGUUCCAGUUUCCCGGGUUGAUGAUUAAUGUGGCUUUCUCAGAGUGCACUGUGCCUUCUCAAAAGGCCUUGCCUGAGAGUCCUGUGAACUUCACGGUGGCUGAGUGUUGUUUCUGCUCUUCUCUCUAUUGUCAUGUGGAAGAGGGAGCAGAUGCAGUCUGUGUGACCCCAGAGGGCAGAAGCAGCAUCAGCUGAUAGACAUGUAGGGAGGUGAAAUUAGGCUUAAAAAUUAGAAUUUCCUGAUAAUUAGAAUGACUUCUCCGAUCUAAAACUUUGCUCGCUUUACAUUGCCUACCAUGUCAUGCACAAACUUCUCUUGUUUGGCUUUCAAUGUCUCCAUCACUUGGCUUUCACAGGCUUUUUCAAUCCUCUGUCCUCUCCCUAAUUACUUGAAUUGUGGGCUUUAACUCACUUUUGUGAUGGUCACUCUCCAAGCCAUAUUUCCAACCCAGAUCCUGUUCUGCAUUUCCAACAGCCUGCAAAGCAUCUCCAGUGAGCUGUCUCGUCAUUACUGCAAAUUCAAAAUGUCCUCAGGGGCACCCAUCAAAUUCCCCUUAACCUUGCCGCUCUUCCCAUCUCCCUCAUUUAUGUUUGUGGAAGUAUGAUCUAGCCUUAGGGAAUGAAAACUAACUUGGAAGAUCCCAAACCUUCUCAUUCUAGCAUCUGAUCAUUUACUAGGACCCAUUGUCUUGAAAUAUCUCACAGUUUAAUAGUUACAAGAAAUCUUAUAGCCCAUACUAUUUCUUCUUCCUCUAAAUCCACAGUGAAACCUGUCUAGGUUUUAUAGCUUCUAGGUCUGGUUAGAUCUCCUGUGUAGAGGAGAAUCGUUUGUUAGCAAUACAUGUGCAAAUGAGGUUUGUAGACAGCGUAAGCCAAGUGUAAAUCUACAGUAUGGGGAUGCCAAAGAAACUCACCUACAGCAUGCUUUAUUAAGAAAAAUACAGCCUCUAAAAUGAGCAAAGUUAUUGUCCUGACCAACUUGGCAUUGACUGAAACACCCUUGGAGUGCUUCUUAACUUACUAGUAUAGUGUUGUAUGUGUAUUACUUUUCUGAGCUGUCAAAGAUGUUGGCUAAAAGUCUCCCAUUACUAUUAUAUUUCUAUUGAUUUUCCCCAAAUGUCUAAGAAUUCUUGCUUUAUUUUUAUUCUAUAUUAUGUGGCAAAAAGGGUUUAUGACAGUUAUGUUUUCUUUAUGGGUUGUUCACUUUGUCAAUAUUUAUUUAUCUAAAUUUCACUUAAGCUUUUUGCUUUCAAUUCUACUUUGAUAAAAAUAUUGUGAUCCUGAUUUCUUUAUAGAUUGUGUGUCUGUGUGUAUAAUAUAUUUGCUAGUUUAUCAUUCCUUAUUCUUAUACUUUUUUUUCUUUAAGUACCUAUCUUGGGAUAGCAUGGGUUUAGUUUUUCAAAUAUGAGAAUUUAAGCCAUUUACAUUUAUUAUCAUGGUUACUAUGUUGUUACUUCAGUCAAGUUGCUUAUGUUUCUGUUUUUUAAAAUGUUUUAUUGUUCUUUACUUAAAAUUGUCUUUUGCUGAGGCUGGCCCCAUGGCCGAGUGGUUAAGUUCACGCGCUCCACUGCAGGUGGCCCAGUGUUUCGUUGGUUUGAAUCCUGGGGGCGGACAUGGUACUGCUCAUCAGGCCAUGCUGAGGCAGUGUCACACAUGCCACAACUAGAAGGACACACAACGAAGAAUAUACAACUAUGUACUGGGGGGC